CCACUAGAAGAUGAAGAAUUGAUCGCCUACAUGAUGCGCGGUCUCAGCAGCGACUACGACUCGCUGGUGACUAGCAUCACCACGCGCGCCGACCCCUACACCGUUAGCGACGUCUUCGCCCACAUGCUGAACUUCGAGA